GGAGAGAAUGAGCGGCCUUGUGUGGUGAGCCGGUUCCUGAGCAGCGUUGCGUGAUUUCCACAGUGGAAGGAGGCAGGGGCUGUGAGUGAGAUCAAGGACCACUGCGGUUGAAGAACAGCAACUGCUAUGAACUUGACUGAACGUGUGCAGACAGAGAGCAGAAGAGGUGACUGCAGAGCCUCUGGCAGACCAGAAAAUGAGACGGGAGGUCAUGGCGCAGGAAGAGGCUACUUGCUGGAUGCCAUGGCAUGGACUUCUCCAUAGAGAAGGAACUGAGCUACUGACCAGCCUUCUGUAAUGGAAGAAUUCUGUCCAUCAGUCUUCAAAGGACUGAAUGUCACCUGCAAACACAUGAAUGUUGAAGAAAAUCUUCCCUCGUUGAGUUGUGCCAUG
rnacentral:lncRNA from 1 species